CAGAACAAGAAAACUUGUUAUAUCAGGCCUUUUGUGUUGAGGUAAUAGAAGCCCUUGAUUUGGAGCAUGCAUUGUAAUUUGAGGACUUUGUUGCAACAAUGGUUUUUCUGAAAUCAGCCUCAGUUACUUACUUGGAAUUUGUUACAGAUGUUCCAUGUUUCUUUCUUUCACUUGAUUUCAAAGAAUCUGCCAGGUGAAGUCAGAGAAUGAAUGAAUGAAUAGAGCUGAUUUCAUAGCUGUGAUUGGUUG
rnacentral:misc_RNA from 1 species